ACAUCCCCAAACAUGCAGCAGUAAAUGGUUCAGAAGAAGAUUAUGUCAAUGAACAAAGAAAGGCAUUGCUGAACUGAGAAAGAAAAUGAGGAGGAUAUUAUAUAGGCAUGACAACUUGAUCUCUCGUCUCGGGCCCGAAGCCAACAGUAGAGUACACAUCCCCUCCGUAGGAGUGAUGGGUUUUGUGCUGACAAAGAGAAUCCAUUGAAUGACGACUGCUCCUUUGUGCUUCUCAAGGGGCCCGAGCUACAAGACAUUCCGUCCCUCAUUCUUCCUCGGCCUCUCCCCCAAUUUUUUCCCGUACAAGAUCGAGCUGAAUGGCUUCUGAAGCUUGUGCACCUUACUGGGUUUCAAGGACUGGCAAUGUUC